CUACGGGGGGCUCCAGUGAGGAAUAUUGCACAAUGGGGGGAACCCUGACGCAGCAACGCCGCGUGGAGGAUGACGCAUUUCGGUGUGUAAACUCCUUUUAUAUGUCAAGAAAAUGACGGUAGCAUAUGAAUAAGCACCGGCUAACUCCGUGCCAGCAGCCGCGGUAAUACGGAGGGUGCAAGCGUUACUCGGAAUCACUGGGCGUAAAGGACGCGUAGGCGGGUUGGAAAGUCAGGUGUGAAAUCCUACAGCUUAACUGUAGAACUGCACUUGAAACUUCUAAUCUAGAGUAUGGGAGGGGGAGAUGGAAUUAGUGGUGUAGGGGUAAAAUUCGUAGAUAUCACUAGGAAUACCUAAAGCGAAGGCGAUCUCCUGGAACAUUACUGACGCUAAGGCGUGAAAGCGUGGGGAACAAACAGGAUUAGAUACCCGUGUAGUC
rnacentral:rRNA from 1 species